GCAGAAUAAACCCGCGGGGAGCGGGAACGGUUUGCUAAACCGAUUGGCUGCCGAUGGCGGCUGGGGUUCGUGUCCUCUGUUCUGCGCCA
rnacentral:tRNA from 1 species